rnacentral:rRNA from 1 species
GUGCCAGCAGCCGCGGUAAUACGUAGGUGGCAAGCGUUAUCCGGAAUUAUUGGGCGUAAAGCGCGCGUAGGCGGUUUUUUAAGUCUGAUGUGAAAGCCCACGGCUCAACCGUGGAGGGUCAUUGGAAACUGGAAAACUUGAGUGCAGAAGAGGAAAGUGGAAUUCCAUGUGUAGCGGUGAAAUGCGCAGAGAUAUGGAGGAACACCAGUGGCGAAGGCGACUUUCUGGUCUGUAACUGACGCUGAUGUGCGAAAGCGUGGGGAUCAAACAGGAUUAGA